UGCUGCUGCAGCUGCAAGGGUUUCAAGGGGGAGAAAAAUGUCGAUUCUGUGGGAGAAGAGCGAAACAUGGAGAUGGAUUGUGAGGAAGACAAGGGACUCUAAGUCUUUCUUUUUCACCUUCGCCACCGUCUGCGGCGUCGUUCCUGGUGUCAUCGGCUAUUGCGUUAUGCAGCUCACAAACUCCCGCAACCCUGAGCUUGAGGCCCGCCUCCGUCAGAACGCCCGCCCUGAAUCCCUAAUGAUGGGGAAAGUUAAUCAAGAGAGACUAGCAGAAUACUUGGGGGAGCUGCAGCGAAAGCAGGAUACAAAUGAUCGAUAUGUUGCUGCUCUGAGAGGGGAGACAUUAACGAGGAAUCCUUACGUAAGAAUUCAACCGAUACAAAAGCAGGGCAACACGGAACCUGACAAGGAGCAGAAGAACGAAA
rnacentral:misc_RNA from 1 species